rnacentral:rRNA from 1 species
CGGAGGGUGCAAGCGUUAUCCGGAUCCACUGGGUUUAAAGGGUGCGUAGGAGGGCAGGUAAGUCAGAGGUGAAAUCUCCGAGCUUAACUCGGAAACUGCCUUUGAUACUAUCUGUCUUGAAUAUUGUGGAGGUGAGCGGAAUAUGUCAUGUAGCGGUGAAAUGCUUAGAUAUGACAUAGAACACCAGUUGCGAAGGCAGCUCGCUACACAUAUAUUGACUCUGAGGCACGAAAGCGUGGGGAUCAAACAGGAUUAGAUACCCUGGUAGUCCACGCCCUAAACGAUGGAUACUCGACAUACGUGAUACACAAUGUGUGUCUGAGCGAAAGCAUUAAGUAUCCCACCUGGGAAGUACGACCGCAAGGUUG